AUUGAACGCUGGCGGCAGGCUUAACACAUGCAAGUCGAGCGGAGACUUCGGUCUUAGCGGCGAACGGGUGAGUAAUACCUAGGAAUCUGCCUAUUAGGUGGGGGAUAACGGCUCGAAAGGGUCGCUAAUACCGCAUACGUCCUACGGGAGAAAGGUGGGGGAUCUUCGGACCUCACGCUAAUAGAUGAGCCUAGGCCGAAUUAGCUAGUUGGUAGGGUAAAGGCCUACCAAGGCGACGAUCCGUAGCUGGUCUGAGAGGAUGAUCAGCCACACUGGAACUGAGACACGGUCCAGACUCCUACGGGAGGCAGCAGUGGGGAAUAUUGGACAAUGGGCGCAAGCCUGAUCCAGCCAUGCCGCGUGUGUGAAGAAGGCC
rnacentral:rRNA from 1 species